UCCUGUCAGUUUCUGCUUCAUGUGUUUGGUGCUCUGCUGUUAGGUGCACACAAACCUAAGAUACUUCUCGUUUCCUGCUGAGUUGACCUUUCGUUAUUCUGUACUAUUUUUCAUCCCUGGAAAUUCUCCUUGCUCUGAAGUCUGCUCUCUCUCAUGUUAACUGAACCUUCGAGCUGUCUUUGAAUUAGUGUUUGUGUGGUGUCAUCAUUCAUUUCAUGAAUCAAUUUGGCUGGGCCGCAGUGCCAAGAGUUGUGGUCAAGUAUUAUUCUGGAUGUUUCUAGGAGGAGACUUUGGAUGAGAUACACUUAAAUGGAUGAACUUUGAGUAAAGCAGACUGCCCUCCACAAUGUGGGUGGGCCCCUCCAAUCAGUUGAAGGCUGAGCAGGAGCAACGACUGACCUCCCCUGAGCAAGAAAGAAUUCUACAGCAGAUGGCCAUUGGACUAGAACUAUAGCACUGACUCUUCCUUGUGUCUCCUCCUGACGACCCUGGACUUGAAACCCAGCAGCAGAUCUUCCCUGCUUCUCAGCCUGGCUCACCCGCCCUGCAGGCUCUAGACUCACCAGGCUCUAUAAUAAUAAGUUUCUGAAGAAAAUGCUGUUUACAACAGUAAAAGGCCGGCUGGAAAGGAGAGAAAGGUUGAUAGACACUGACACGCAUGUGCCCAGUGGCCGUGGUCCAGCUGCAGCAUGGCUCUUCAUUUGCCGCACAGCCAGAGAUGACCUACUCAGAGCUGCCCACGUGGUUCUGCCAAGAGAAGCUCCAGGGUCUCCUGUGUCAGACUCGCUCAGUGUGCAUCCAGCCAUGGGAACUCAGCUGUGCUGUGGUCAUAGCUGCUAGGAUCAUGUCUCACUCCGUCUGCCCUCAUGCUGAUCUCCCAUCAGGGAUUCCAUCACGUCAAUGGGACCAAGUGAGAAGGAAGUAGCAGAUUGUGCAGGGAGCUACAAGGACUCCUCCAAGAAGAUGUGAUGAGACACAGAAGAUGUUAUUCACCAAGAUUCCAGAGGUUGAGGAGGCAGACCGGCCAGAGGAGGAUACGGGACGAGCAUUCGGAGCGGAGAGCCUGGACUCCCCUUUGAGGGAGGUCACUCGUUGGGAGAGAAUGUCUUGGUUAGGAGGUGCACAGUGAGGGGUGCCGAACAGGUGGUCAGGCUGCGCGGGCAGCCCCCUUAGGGAAGCCUCCAGAUGCCGGAUGGAGUCACCGGCUAGCCAGGCGAUUCACUCAAGUGGAGCAUUCUGGAGGGAUGCCAAGGGGCCAGAUCUGAAACCCUGUCGGGGUUCCUAAUGGAGAAGGCAAGGAGGGAACUAGGAGGACGCAGACCUCAGGUGUUACUGAAGCCUGAGGUUGGCGUGUUCAUCACGGGGCUGUGAAAGUGAGAUUCAGGCCGCGUUUAAUGACGUUCCCAUCUGGUUCCAUACGGAUUGCAUUCCAAGAGCUGCUGGAGCAGAUGAACUCCGGGUCGCUGGGUUUUCAGUGACAAGUGUGUCAUCCAUCGGUGGUGCAUGGGGUUUUAUGUCGGGUGGGCGCCCAGAAGGCGUCUCCCCGUUCAGGCUGGGUGAGUCAGCCGCAGCAGGAAUCAGCCUCGCCUUCAGCGGGGACUGCGCUGAUGGUCCUCCUCCUCUGAGCCAUGGCCACCCCUCCCCCUGCGACACGAGCCCAGACAGGGCCCCUCACCGAGAACGCUGUACGGAAAUUGAAGUGGCGACUUCCCAGAACAUUCUGAACAACCGCUUCUCUGUCUCUCUCCUCCCGCAGCCCUCGUGACUAGCAAGCAACCCCCUUGGACUUUCUUGGUUUGAAUUGUACUCUGUCCGGAAGAAAACUCGAUUUGUCCCUCAGACUCCAUGUCACAGGAGCUGUCUGCUUCGGCUCACUCAGCGUCUCACUCGUCUCCGGUUCUGAAUACUCUCCGCAAGCCAAGUCCAGUGUGGACCGUUCGGAUGGGGGUGAGGGACGGCAGGGAUCGGAGAGAAUGGAAGAGUCUUUUCCCUGGACAAAUUCCUUUUCCUCAAAGCCAACAAGCUGACCUGUAAGAAGAUGCUCGAGUUCACUAGUGAUGUUAUGGAACCUGGGCUGGAUCGCCCGACGGAAGAACGAAGCGGCACCCGGAGCUCUUGGAGGACAGGAGGUGUAUUGAACGCCGGCGGGCUCAGAGGAGAGUGGUCUCCAAAGGUCUGAGCCCCGAGCACAAAGGGGGCAAUUUAUACACUUCUACUUCUGCCUACUUGGCACUUUAGGCACGUGCGCGAAGCGGGGCAGGGAGAAGAACCCGGAAGAGCCCCGGGGCAGGGGCUGGACUCGCUCGCUGGCUCGGUCGGCCAUCUCAGGACACAGAUUUUCCUUAGCAGUGAUCGGGAAAAUAAGAAGUGAAACCAAUGCCAUCUUCAUCUCUCAACCUGACAAUCAGGAGAAUGAGGUCCAGCCCCGGCGAGGCUGUGGAAAAUGGGGACUCGCCUACACCGUUGGUGGGUGUGACAGUGUCGGAACGAGGGACAGUGUAUGAUGUCGUAAACGUACUGUGCCCUUUGAGCUUGAAAUUCUACCUGCUGGAAUAUAUUGCAGCAGGAGCAAAGCCUCAUCGAUGCUCUAAGAGACAUGUUUGCGGAUGCUAUGGCUGGAACUGCUAAUGGCCUUUCUGCUGUCUAGUCUUUCCAUUUCUAACUACGUAUUUGGUGGUAAUUAUGUCAGUUAUGAAAGUGACAUGUCCCAGACCUUUGUAGGACAAGGAGGGCUACUGAAAUACAAGCAAGAAUUCAUCGGAUGGAACUUGAGGAAAGCCCUCUCACCCUUCCCCUCUUUUCUCCUUUGUGGCGUCUGGACCUGAUGGCUAGAGUCACAGCAGCCACUUUGUGACCUUGAGGAUGGACGCCACACACUAAGGAACAGAAAAAUACAAGAAGCCCGGGGCCUCAAUGCCUCAUAGAGUUAUCAUUCCUACCCUGAACUGUUUGCCUGCAGAUUUGUCCUGAACACAAGAGAAAAACAAGCCCAUGGUUUGUCUAGGUCACCAUGAUUGCAUCUGUCACCGGCAGCCAGUAUACAGGAGCCACUGCUGUUCGUGGUUUCAUGUUCCGUGGUCAACCACAGUCAGGAAGUAGAUGAUCCUCCUCCUGACGCACGCUCAGAGGGUCAGGAGUAGCCUAAUGCUACGUCUCAGUGCCGACAGCCCUGCCCUCGCAUCCCUCAUCACACGGACAUUUUAUCACCUCACAUCCUCAUAUGAAGGAGGAGGGUGGGUGCAGAACAGGAAGAUAUUUUGAGAGAGAGACCACAUCCACAUAGCUUUUAUACAGCACAUUGUUAGGACUGUUCUAUUUUUAUUAGUACUAUUGUUAAUCUUGAACUGUGCCUAAUCUGUAAAUUAAUCGUUAUCACAGGUCUGUGUGUACAGGAAAACACAUAGUGUCUAUAGGGUUCGGUACUCUCUGUGCUUUCAGGCGUCACUGGGGGUCUAGGAGCGUGUCUCCUGGGGAGAAAGGGGGACUUCUGUAUUCCUCACGGACACAGAUAUUGGUGGGAACCUUGUCUUAAAAUAGAGGAAUAAUGUAGGCGGUCUAAAGGUCCCUAGCUUCCCCUUUCCUGAGGUUUUCCUGAUCCGAGCCCCAUCUCCGUCGGCAAGACCCUGACCCUCAACCUCUUUCUCAUAGCAGAACUUGAGCUGGGCUCUGCUUGAGCACAUUCCUCCUACGCUGCCAGAGGAGCAGCACGUAAUUCAAAUAUUUCUAAAUUCCUGGAAAAGGAGACAUGGAGUCACUGAGAGUCAAGACUUUUAAGUUGUGUUUAAAACCCCAAAUUAUAUAAACAAAAACUGAGAAGUAGGAGAGAGAGCAAAUGUGCUCCAUUCUCACUGAACUAGGAAUGGAAAUAGCUGUCUGCUCCUGGCUUGACUAGGGACAAAGUAGGUUUAAAGUCUUCUUUAUUAUUUACAGGAAAGUGCUAGUAAAAUUGAAAACAGGAUGUUUACCUUCAGAAUCAUUGGGAGGUAGAGAGGCAAAGAAAGUCUAUGUUAGUGGUCCAUCGGUUGUAUGGCCGGAUACAAAAAAUAAGUUAAAAGACCUUAAGCAGGCAAUCUCACAACAGAGUAUUUAUUAAUUUGUGACCCAUACAUUUUAAAGCAGAUGCCAAACAUUAAAACCUAUGCAAUUACGAGGGGCGCCUGGGUGGCUCAGUCGUUAAGCGUCUGCCUUCGGCUCAGGUCAUGAUCCUGGAGCCCCGGGAUCAAGUCCCGCAUCGGGCUCCCUGCUCAGCGGGAAGCCUGCUUCUCCCUCUCCCACUCCCCCUGCUUGUGUUCCUGCUCUCGCUGUGUCUCUCUCUGUCAAAUAAAUAAAUAAAAUCUUUAAAAAUAAAAUAAAAUAAAAUAAAAAAACCUAUGCAAUUACGAGAUAUCCACGUCCAUGAAAGAAACCCUAUUGUAACACCUUGCAGCUGGAGACGACUUCAUACAUUAGCUCAUCCCUCAAGGCUGCAAAGGCAUUUAGAGUGAGAGCCCUAACCCAGCAGUAUGGCCAAGCCAGAGUGCAUACGGCCUUCUUGACUACUUUGCACGUUUGACUUAAAAAAUUCAGGGCGGGGACAUCUAGAAGCUAGGGAAAUUAAGACGGUUUACGUUAUUCCUCUACUUUAAAGUUUACAACAAACCUCCAUGUCUGUUAGAAACACAGAGGGGGGCUAGUCAGAGAGAUCUCACCCUGGUGACCUAAACACGCGGGAAUCUGGGGUCAGCUUCUUGUCUGAUUUAAUCGGGUCAUCUGUGAGGCCUCAUCCUGUGCAGAUGCAGAAGUCUGCCAGGCGCGGGACAGGGGCCAGCUCAGGGUUUUCUUGUUCUUUGUCUUGUGUGUGCCGUCUGCGGUCUGUGAACGCUGGGAGGAGAUCUUUUCAACAACUCGGCCCGCUCAGCUCAGUGACAUCCAUGCUCCCAAACAGCAAGAGUCUGGACUUGACCCAGUGAGGGGCAGGGCCCUCGAGGCUCAGUUCGCCCACACGUGGCCGUCUGACAAACACACCAAGCCCGAGAGCCAGGGACAUUCUAUUGCAUGUUCAAAGCGGGGUUUUUUCCUGAUCAAGAUGAAAAUACGAAUAGACACUCUUGUAUUUUCUUUGUAUACCGCAGUGGACCAUCUCAUACCGACACACUGGAGACCAGUACUUUAUCUAAAAAGGUACCUUUUCUCGUCGUUAUUUUAAAAUGGUCAGAAGGACCUACACAGAGGAGCUAAACGUGGAUGCUCAGGACUGCCUAAAGCUUGGGCAGAGGACCCGAGUAGACGGUUUUUAAAAGAAGACACCCGACGGUGGGCAGGUACAUGGAAGAUGUCAACAUGGCUGAUCACCAGGGAAACGCAAGUCCAAACCAGCGUCUGUCGGGCUGGCUGCUACCAAAGGGCAAGGGACAGAGUGUUGGCGGGAACGCAAACUGGUGCAGCCAGCGUGGAAAACAGUGCGGCGCUUCCUCCGGGCACUGAAAACACAACCACCGCAUGACCCCACAUUCGGCGCCUGGGCGUUGAUGCGGGCACUGGAAUCACGACGUGGGCGAGUCUGCCCCUCCCCGUGCUCACUGCCGCAGGAGUGACAAGAGCCAAGACGUGGGAACGCCUCGGUGUCCACGAGGGGCCAGCAGACCUAGAUGUGGCGUAUGCAUCCCCUGGAGCACUAUCCGGCCAUAGAAGGAAGGAAACUGCCCCCUUGGGACAACAUGGCUGGACUCUGAGGGCCAUACGCUGGGUGAACGAAGUCAGACAGAGAAAAACGAAUCCUCCAUGUUCUCACUUAGGUGAGCAAUCUAGAAAAGCUGGAGCCACUCGUGAUGGGCACCGGGUGCUGCCUGGCCAUGCGGAAUCACGGCAUCGAACGCCUGAAACAGUGUCACCCUGCAUGUUAACUCACUGGAAUUCAAAUAACGAAAAAAGCUGGACUCCUAGAAACAGCGUAGAGCGGGGUUGUCAGCGCUGGGGGUGACGGGGAGUGGGGAGAGCCUGCCAAAGACACACGCUUGCAGGGCUCCGAGGGGGUAAGUCCGGGGCAGAGGCUCGGCUUGCCGACUACAGCUCACGUGACCGUGUUCUAGACGGAAUCUGUGGGUGGAUGCCAGAUGUCCUCGCACCAGAAGUGAGGACCAGCACGGAGGGCUGGGGCUGUUAUCUGGGCUCCUGCGGGGAUCAUGCAAGCAGGGACACGUACAUCAAACCAACCUGCUGUACCCCUUAAAUUACCUAUGCCCCAUGUCAAUGA